rnacentral:lncRNA from 1 species
GCCCCAGGCCCUGCCCGUCAUGCCUCCCGCAGUGAGCUAUAAGACAGGCCCUUGCCUUGCCUCCAUUUCUCCCCCCACAGCAUGUUUUGUUUUGGAAAUCUCUGGAAAAAGGACCUUUGCUUGGAAUGUCCCAGCGCCCUAAGAACAGCAGCAGCACCGGAUGUAGUCUCUGCUUCCGGUUGUCAUCAGCCAAUGAGAGAAGGUUAAAGAGAACACUAGCGUUUUCCCACAGGAGAAUGCGACAACGUGUUGGGGGAUCGUAUACACAAAGGGAAAUCAGAUGUGAGAGACUAGAAGUAACAGAUAAAGUCCAUCACGCAUCAAAUAUCUGCAGAAACUACUGUAGGUUGACAAGAUCAAGACAAAACAGAUCGAAUUCCCAGGGUGUGUUUCAGCUGUUGGGAAGCAACAUGGAGGGUCAGAUGAUCAUGAAGGCAGGAGCUGUGUUUUAUUUUCCAUGAAUUCUCUGUGCCGCCCAGUCAAUGUUUGCUGCAUUAAAUCCAGGCACACUUGGUAUAGAAAAUGCAACCUUGUGCCUAUGUUAGUUCUCAUAUUGAAUAUGUCUGGGCCUCUGCCAAUCUUUUCUGUUCUUUGCACUUCACAAAUUGGUGACAGGGCAGCAGAUAC